GGCCACUGCUAUGGGGGUCCGACUAAGCCAUGCGAGUCAUGGGGCGCGCUCUGCGCGCACCGGCGGACGGCUCAGUAACACGUCGGUAACCUACCCUCGGGAGGGGGAUAACCCCGGGAAACUGGGGCUAAUCCCCCAUAGGCCUGAGGUACUGGAAGGUCCUCAGGCCGAAAGGGGCAUCUGCCCGCCCGAGGAUGGGCCGGCGGCCGAUUAGGUAGUUGGUGGGGUAACGGCCCACCAAGCCGAAGAUCGGUACGGGCCAUGAGAGUGGGAGCCCGGAGAUGGACACUGAGACACGGGUCCAGGCCCUACGGGGCGCAGCAGGCGCGAAACCUCCGCAAUGCGGGAAACCGCGACGGGGGGACCCCCAGUGCCGUGGCAUCGCCACGGCUUUUCCGGAGUGUAAAGAGCUCCGGGAAUAAGGGCUGGGCAAGGCCGGUGGCAGCCGCCGCGGUAAUACCGGCGGCCCGAGUGGUGGCCGUUAUUAUUGGGCCUAAAGCGUCCGUAGCCGGGCCCGUAAGUCCCUGGCGAAAUCCCACGGCUCAACCGUGGGGCUUGCUGGGGAUACUGCGGGCCUUGGGACCGGGAGAGGCGGAGGGUACUCCUGGGGUAGGGGUGAAAUCCUAUAAUCCCAGGAGGACCGCCAGUGGCGAAGGCGCUCCGCUGGAACGGGUCCGACGGUGAGGGACGAAGGCCAGGGGAGCGAACCGGAUUAGAUACCCGGGUAGUCCUGGCUGUAAAGGAUGCGGGCUAGGUGUCGGGCGAGCUUCGAGCUCGCCCGGUGCCGAAGGGAAGCCGUUAAGCCCGCCGCCUGGGGAGUACGGCCGCAAGGCUGAAACUUAAAGGAAUUGGCGGGGGAGCACUACAAGGGGUGGAGCGUGCGGUUU
rnacentral:rRNA from 1 species